GAUGAACGCUAGCUACAGGCUUAACACAUGCAAGUCGCGGGGCAGCAUGGUGGUUGCUUGCCCUCCCUGAUGGCGACCGGCGCACGGGUGAGUAACGCGUAUCCAACCUGCCCUUCACCACGGGAUAACCCGGCGAAAGUCGGACUAAUACCGUAUGUUGUCCCUUGACGGCAUCCGAUUUGGUCGAAAGGCUUAGCGUUGAGGGAUGGGGAUGCGUCCGAUUAGCUUGACGGCGGGGUGACGGCCCACCGUGGCUACGAUCGGUAGGGGUUCUGAGAGGAAGGUCCCCCACACUGGAACUGCGACACGGUCCAGACGCCUACGGGAGGCAGCAGUGAGGAAUAUUGGUCAAUGGGCGUAAGCCUGAACCAGCCAAGUAGCGUGCAGGAUGACGGCCCUAUGGGUUGUAAACUGCUUUUAUGCGGGGAUAAAGGGACCAACGUGUGGGUUUUUGAAGGUACCGAAUGAAUAAGGACCGGCUAAUUCCGUG
rnacentral:rRNA from 1 species